GCUAACGUAGCUUAACCAAAGCAUGACACUGAAGAUGUUAAGACGAGCCCUAGAAAGCUCCGUAAGCA
rnacentral:tRNA from 1 species